UGGUGGUAGCUCAGUGGUUAAGGUGUUGGACUCCUGAUUGGAGGGUUAAGAGUUCAAAUCCCUUAAGGCCCUUAA